rnacentral:lncRNA from 12 species
CAGGUGACCCCGCCCAGGUGAUCCCCGGGGAUUCCCUCCAGGUGACCCCGCCCAGGUGAUCCCCGGGGAUUCCCUCCAGGUGACCCCGCCCAGGUGAUCCCCGGGGAUUCCCUCCAGGUGACCCCGCCCAGGUGAUCCCCGGGGAUUCCCUCCAGGUGACCCCGCCCAGGUGAUCCCCGGGGAUUCCCUCCAGGUGACCCCGCCCAGGUGAUCCCCGGGGAUUCCCUCCAGGUGACCCCGCCCAGGUGAUCCCCGGGGAUUCCCUCCAGGUGACCCCGCCCAGGUGAUCCCCGGGGAUUCCCUCCAGGUGACCCCGCCCAGGUGAUCCCCGGGGAUUCCCUCCAGGUGACCCCGCCCAGGUGAUCCCCGGGGAUUUCCUCCAGGUGGGAACAGGGGAUCCCCUCCAGGUGAUCCCAGGUGAUUUCCUCCAGGUGAUCCCAUCCAGGUGGGAAUGGGGGAGGGAGGGGAUUCCCUCCAUCCAGACGAUUCCCCAGUGAUCCCCUCCAGGUGAUUCCCCCCAGGUAACCCCAGGUGAUUCCCUUCAGGGGAUCCCCUCCAGAUUAUUCCCUCCAGGUGCUCCCAUCCAGGUGAUCCCAGGUGAUUCCCAGGUGAUCCCAAGAUAGAGGAUCCCCCCCAGGUCAUCCCAGGUAACCCCCGGUGAUCCCAUCCCAGGUGAUCCCAAGAUAGAGGAUUCCCCCCAGGUAAUUCCCAGGUGAUUCCCAGGUGAUUCCCAGGUGAUCCCAGGUAAUUCCCAGGUGAUUCCCAGGUGAUCCCGUUGGCAGCUCCCGUUUUACCAUCGAACCCCAGGAGGUCCCCGAGCACGUCCUCGAUGGGAUCUGGAACAGGACAAAGCCCAGCCCCGUCUCACCUGGAUCUCACCUGGAUCCCAGCCCUGUCUCACCUGGACCCCAGCCCUGUCUCACCUGGAUCUCACCUGGAUCCCCUCUCAUCUCGGGGGGGGGGGGGGGGGGGGGGGGGGGGGGGGGGGGGGGGGGGGGGGGGGGGGG